rnacentral:rRNA from 1 species
UGGGGAAUAUUGCACAAUGGGGGAAACCCUGAUGCAGCCAUGCCGCGUGUGUGAAGAAGGCCUUCGGGUUGUAAAGCACUUUCAGUUGUGAGGAAAGUUUAGUAGUUAAUACCUGUUAGAUGUGACGUUAGCAACAGAAGAAGCACCGGCUAACUCCGUGCCAGCAGCCGCGGUAAUACGGAGGGUGCGAGCGUUAAUCGGAAUUACUGGGCGUAAAGCGCACGCAGGCGGUCUGUUAAGUUAGAUGUGAAAGCCCCGCGCUCAACGUGGGAGGGUCAUUUAGAACUGGCAGACUAGAGUCUUGGAGAGGGGAGUGGAAUUCCAGGUGUAGCGGUGAAAUGCGUAGAGAUCUGGAGGAACAUCAAUGGCGAAGGCAACUCCCUGGCCAAAGACUGACGCUCAUGUGCGAAAGUGUGGGUAGCGAACAGGAUUAGAUACCCUGGUAGUCCACACCGUAAACGCUGUCUACUAGCUGUUUGUGGAUUUAAUCCGUGAGUAGCGAAGCUAACGCGAUAAGUAGACCGCCUGGGAGA